GGUAACAUGGCCGAGUGGUCUAAGGCGUUGGAUUUAAGCAAUCUUGAUUCCCAAUGGGUGUGAACCCGCGCGAGUUCAAACCUCGCUGUUACCA